rnacentral:lncRNA from 1 species
CUUCAGUGGUAGAGUGCUAGCCAGUCUGAGGCCACGGAGCUCCUGCAAAAAUUCUUUAUCGUCUUUGGCGCAAGCGCAACGGGAUUGUGAAUGUUUGUCUGUCUAGUUAUGGGAUCCAGAAUUAUGACCAUUGAGAUAUCAAUAUUGUUUAGUCCUAGUUUGGAAGAUAAUAACCUAAUGCCAUCAUAAAUAUAACUACAUUAAAAAUCAAUUAAGAGCCAUUCAAUUGGCUUUUAAGCAUGUUUACCUUUGCCAAAAAAUAUAGCCAUUUGCUUGCUUGCUUUACGAACAGAAACCACAACAAUAUCUCAACAACAACCUGUCCUGUCGAAGAAAUAAUGAAAAUACUCUAUCCACCAUUUAAAGUCAACCGAGCGCGGCUUUUUUUGUGGUACUCAUCUCAAACACUCAUUAUGGAUCGAAUAUGUUGUUGCUGCUUGUUUGCGAUGAUAAUGACGCUGGAGACCGAAGCCAGAGCUACAGCUACAUAGCCAUAUCCAUAGCCAGAGUCAAUUCAACGUUAAUCACGACUUUUACUUGUCUUUAAUUUUUUUGGCAAACAGUAGAGCCCCGAAGAGAGAAGAAGAAACGAAAUGAAACGAAA